rnacentral:tRNA from 1 species
GAGGGUAUAGCUCAGGUGGUAGAGUGUGUGCUUAGCAUAUGAAAGCAUAUGUCUUGGGUUCAAUCCCCUGUACCCCCC